rnacentral:rRNA from 1 species
UACGAUGGGGGCGAGCGUUGUUCGGAAUUAUUGGGCGUAAAGGGUGCGUAGGCGGUUUGGUAAGUCUGAUGUGAAAUCUAUGGGCUCAACUCAUAGUCUGCAUCGGAAACUGCCGGGCUUGAGUGUGGGAGAGGUGAGUGGAAUUCCUGGUGUAGCGGUGAAAUGCGUAGAUAUCAGGAGGAACACCUGUGGCGAAAGCGGCUCACUGGACCAUAACUGACGCUGAUGCACGAAAGCUAGGGGAGCAAACAGG